GCACGGCAGCGCAGUGGGAUUAGGGUUACAGCUUGGCUCUGAUGCCAAAUUGAAUAUUACGGCUUAAUCUCGUAUAUUUCAUAAUUCUUAUUAAAUAGGUACAUACAAUCCUUGUUGUAAAAGGAAACAAAUAAAUGACAUAUUGUCCUUCCUAAACAAGACUCUAAUAAUUACAGAAUAUUUACAUUCCUUUUCUCCUAAAUUUUAACUUAUUCCAAUAGUACAUGCUUAUCAAUCUGCUACUUGCAUCAGGACUUCUCAAAUAUCCUUUCUUGUAAUAGACAAUUGUUCUAAUUAUUAGCAUUUUCUUGCCAAAUUAAUUCUAUAAAUUAAUUGAUCUCUUUCAUUCAAUCCCGUUCUCCUAGACCCUACGGUCCAAGGAGAUUGUGGCCAAUUAUUGUUCAAUCUUAGACUUCUUAGUACAAACGGUGGAGAUGAUGGAGUUUAGGAGAACGGGACUAUUCUCUCUCCAUAUACAAGCGGUACAGAGGAGAAAAAAUGCAUACUCUGUUCACAUGAAUGAAUGUGAAACAAAGGUCCAUAAACUAAAAAUUCAUAGGUAUUUGUCCUUGCACUUAUCACAAUCCGGAACAAUGAUCAUUUUCUAUGUUAAAAGUUACAUCCAAAAUAAAAGGUUUAAAGGGACGAAAGUUUUAAUAGAGUUAUCCAAACUGAUCAUCGUUCCACAUUGUGACAAGUUAGGAGAUCAAUACUCACAAAUUUCUAUGAUCCUAAAUGUGCAAGUGUAAUCACAUAAACCAAGUCAAAGACUGUUGUCAAAGGCCUCAAGUUUCCAAGAUCCUAGAAGAAAACAAAAUGUAAUGUUUGCCUCAUACCAACGAAGCUCUAGUGCAAACUUGCACCAAAAUCAGUAUUAUAGUUAUGCAAGUUGUGCAAGGGUUGGUGAAUCAUUUAAUACAUUGUCCAUUGAUCAAUGCCAAAUUUGUUGAGCUCUUGAAAAACCCAUAUGCCUACUCGAGUUCUUUUAACCGUUGGUUCUCAAUCAAAGAUAUAAUGACCAAGAUUUAACUGUUAAAAAUUCCGGAGCAUAGGUUACU
rnacentral:lncRNA from 1 species